UAUAAAUACAGCAAUUAUUUUCUAUAUCAAUCCAUAGGCUGGACCAAAUCCUUCGCAUUUCGUUUGAUUUUAAAAUCUUUCAACGAAUAUAAAAAACCUGCUGAGAACAUAUCAAGAGCCAUGGAGCAUGAGUUUUUAACCGUGACUGGAAAAUUCCGAGUUGAAUAUCCUGGUGUUCAAAGUCAACUGCGGCGCAAUAUCUCCCAAGUUUUGAACCAAUUCCAGGCAUUGCUCAACAUGAAUUUGCUUGAUGAAAGUAAGU